rnacentral:lncRNA from 1 species
CUUUUUAGACCUUAUAUGUCAUGUCUUUUCAUUUCAAAUCCCUUCAUAUCCCUCUGAAAUGUUGUAACUCCCCACAAAACUACCACUAUUUUAGAACCGAUUUCUCUCCUUCCUCAUAAUUAUCUCUUCUCCUAUUAAAACCCUCUCAUCUCUUUGAAUAAUCAUAUCUUCUCUUCAGUCCUUCUCUAGAACUUUCAAACUUUAUCUCUUCCAUGGCUAAAGAUCAACUAAUCGUUCCCUCCUUAGUUGAGAAAACAGAUUCUUCUGCUUCUAGUGAAACACCUCUUAUCAUCCUUUCACUCUCUCAAACCUCUCUC